UNGAUUAUUUCAGAACUAGGAUUAGGGGC
rnacentral:piRNA from 1 species